UGUUAUGGCCGAUUGGAAUUCUUGACAGAAAAUCUUCUCUCCUCUCCUCACGGACAAAACGCAGCGGCGAACGCUCCUCUUCUCCGAUCAGAAUCCCCAUGAGUACCACCGUAACGGAGCUCCAUUCAUCACCACAAACGUCAUCCUUUCAACUAAACCUCUCUUGUCUCUUCCUUCACUUGUAAUCGUUAAUCUUUCUCCAACGUCACUCGGUUUCGAUCCCUCAUCAAUUAGUUUCCCUCGCAACCGGAGUGAUUCCGAUGAUCUUUCAAUCUUCGACGAUAGAGUAAAACUCAAUGAAAAAGCUGCUCCGACGAUGUUGUUGUAGGAGCGUGAUGAUGAAGAUUCGAAAAUUAGAGAUGAAUUGUGUGGAGUGAGGCAGAGCGAUGAUUUUCAGAGUGGAGGAGAAAGAUGAAGGUAGAUGAUUGACGAGAGUUUUGGUUCUUGAAGAAUCUGGUGGUUGAAGAAUAUAGAAGAGAAGAUAAGGGAGAUUGAAGAUUGCAGAGAGUUUGUUACAAGGUUAUUGGUGGAGGAGAAUGGUGGUGAAGAAGAUGGUGAAGAAGGUGGAAGAGAAUGAAGAGGGUGAGUGAAGUUGAAGAUUGAAGAAUGUGAAGUGAGGAUGGAGAUGAAUGAAUGAAGAGUGAAGAACUGAAGCAUAGAGCAGUGUUCCUGUUAUAUAGGUGGUGAAGAGGAUAAAUUCAGUUAGAGCUUGAGAAAGGUUGGAGAUUCAAUGGUGAGAUGUGGGGUUGGUUAGACUUGAAGGGUCGAGAUUGCAGAGAUUCUAAGGUCGGCAGCUCUGUGAAGCAGCUGAAGGCACCGUUUUUUAUCUCCUUUUUUGCAGAGCUAUGGUGACUACUUGAUGAAGGCCAGGCUAAACUCCUGGAAGUUAAUGAUUUAAACCUGUUAAAUAGAGCUUAUGAACUUAAGGCCUUUGGUUUAGAGGUAAUCAUGUGACCUUCCCUUUCUUUCUUGUUCUAGGUUCCAAAAGUGGAGAAGCAGUGGGGUCUGUGCGAUUGGAAACAUAGAAGGGUGGACUUCCUCAACUGUUGUCAUACUAGUUAGCACCAUGGUGAAAAAACAGAAUGGACUAGCUUGUCAACUUUAGUGCAAAUAUGCAAUUCUCAUGUAUAGUACCUUUGUAACGUGCUUUUGCCACUUUAUAGUAGGACUUUUUUGUAAUGGAUUAUCUUGUAACGUAUCAUGAUCUUCGAAACAUAAUUGACCUUCUCUCAUGAAAUAUUGACCCUUUUUGUAACUUUGACUUGUAGUGAUUCUUGAGCUUGAAAUCGUGAAUGUUGUGAACUUUUGUAAUAGAUUUUGAAUGGAACUUGAAUGGAUAAUUGUGAUGAAUAUUUUAUUCUUCAAUCAAUAAAGAACAACUUCUCUCUAUUUCUUUUGGAUUUGUAAAUAC